rnacentral:rRNA from 1 species
AUUGAACGCUGGCGGCAUGCCUUACACAUGCAAGUCGAACGAGAAGCUUUUUAAUGAUCCUUCGGGUGAACUAAGAAGUGGAAAGUGGCGAACGGGUGAGUAACGCGUGGGUAACCUGCCUCAUGGAAAGGAAUAGCCUCGGGAAACUGGGAGUAAAGCCUUAUAUUAUUGAGUUGUCGCAUGGCAAUUCGAUGAAAACUCCGGUGCCAUGAGAUGGACCCGCGUCCCAUUAGCUAGUUGGUGAGAUAACAGCCCACCAAGGCAACGAUGGGUAACCGGUCUGAGAGGGCGAACGGUCACACUGGAACUGAGACACGGUCCAGACUCCUACGGGAGGCAGCAGUGGGGAAUAUGGCGCAAUGGGGGAAACCCUGACGCAGCAAUACCGCGUGAGUGAAGAAGGUUUUCGGAUCGUAAAACUCUUUUAUUGGGGAAGAAGAAGUGACGGUACCCAAUGAAGAAGUCCCGGCCAACUACGUGCCAGCAGCCGCAGUAAAAC